AAUUAAAGUUUUUGGGUUAAGNGGGAGUAUGGUCGCAAGGCUGAAACUUAAAGACAUUGACGGAAGGGCACCACCAGGCGUAAACUACCACAGCUNUGCGCCUUUUUAGACAGUGCUCCUUUUCCUGGAGUGGUGGAUAAUCUGCCCUGGACCCCUCUAUAUAGCGAGGUCAAAUACUGUUUUCAGUCCGUUUUACGGGCAACACACCUAUCCUGCGGGGAACCUUCUAAGUAAGCCGAAACACUNUCCUAGGCUACCAUUACCGUGGUCUUUAGGGUACAGUAAUAGUUUUCGGUUGGUUAUAUAGAGUGAUCCGCAGCCAGCGUAUCCGCAGUGGAAGCUGGUUCAGAGAUUAGAUCGGUGUGGGUGGGGCCUAUCCGGCACCAUUUGAGCUUUAAUCCGUCUCGUGGCAGGAGCUACCGAGAAUGAACGGGAGCCUGCGGCUUAAUU
rnacentral:rRNA from 1 species